GAUGAAGAACGUAUCGAAAUGCGAUAACUAAUGUGAAUUGCAGAAUUCAGUGAAUCAUCGAGUCUUUGAACGCACAUUGCGCCCUCUGGUAUUCCGGAGGGCAUGCCUGUCCGAGCGUCAUUGCUGCCCUCAAGCACGGCUUGUGUGUUGGGCCCCCGUCCCCCCCUCUGCCGGGGGGACGGGCCCGAAAGGCAGCGGCGGCACCGCGUCCGGUCCUCGAGCGUAUGGGGCUUCGUCACCCGCUCUUGUAGGCCCGGCCGGCGCCAGCCGACCCCAACCCUAAAUUUUUUUCAGGUUGACCUCGGAUCAGGUAGGGAUACCCGCUGAACUUAAGCAUAUCAAUAAGCGGAGGA
rnacentral:misc_RNA from 1 species